rnacentral:rRNA from 1 species
AACAGGGAUUGCCCCAGUAACGGCGAGUGAAGCGGCAACAGCUCAAAUUUGAAAUCUGGCUCUCGGGCCCGAGUUGUAAUUUGUAGAGGAUGCUUUUGGUGAGGUGCCUUCCGAGUUCCCUGGAACGGGACGCCAUAGAGGGUGAGAGCCCCGUCUGGUUGGACGCCGAACCUCUGUAAAGCUCCUUCGACGAGUCGAGUAGUUUGGGAAUGCUGCUCUAAAUGGGAGGUAUAUGUCUUCUAAAGCUAAAUACCGGCCAGAGACCGAUAGCGCACAAGUAGAGUGAUCGAAAGAUGAAAAGAACUUUGAAAAGAGAGUUAAACAGUACGUGAAAUUGUUGAAAGGGAAGCGCUUGUGACCAGACUUGGGCUUGGUUGAUCAUCCGGGGUUCUCCCCGGUGCACUCUUCCGGCCCAGGCCAGCAUCAGUUCGCCCUGGGGGACAAAGGCUUCGGGAACGUGGCUCUCUCCGGGGAGUGUUA